rnacentral:lncRNA from 1 species
GGUGUGCGAUCCAUUAGGUUCCUUUUAGCGAGGCAGUGGGCGAUUAAAACCAUUUUUACAUCGAUUGUGAAUUUGAAACUUACUUUCAAUUCUCCCUUUAGUGAUUACACACGUUUAGGGCUUCCACAAACCAUGAGUGACACCUAGCAGCAUAUCAUGGUUACCCAAGCUAAUCAGAAGAGGUCAGAGAACCUAUUCAGUUUGGGAUUACAAAUGCAAUACGGUCUUUCUCUAAUCUAAUACUCUUGACCACAUUGUUUGGUUUGAUAGUUUAUAUGUUCAUGUCUACUAUCCAAUGUGAUUCGUGUGCUUAUAUGAUUUCCUUGAAUGUGAUUUAGAACGACUUUUCUAAAUCUCAUUCAUACUCUGGCCAGAGAUUCUAAAUCAUAUCAUAGAGUAUUCUCCCUCAAACAGUUUGAAGGUUAGAGAUCCUUUGUUGCGCAUUCACUUGCCUCCAUGGCUAAGUGGCUUAACCCCAACGAUGCCGUGGACACCCUCCUGAUGGAGUGACUUUGACAUAAUCAAAGAUCAAGGACUUAACCACAAGACAACUAUGAUGCCUCAGGUCAAAGGACUACUUUGCAUUAUCCCAACCAUGAGUUCUCAUGUGACAUGAGUAUGAGAACUCUUCGUCGAUCAUGUUCAGUGAACUCAUUCUCUAUUGAGCACCUACGUACUUGUCUUGAUGUCACACACACCAAUGACUCGAGACUAGUCACUCUCCCUGAGAGAAGACAUAGCACGUACCGAUCUUGAUGGACUGUCAAUGCCCAAUUGGCAAUAGGAACAUUUAGGAUGUGUCUACGAAAGAAUGGUCUCAUGAAUCUAACUUCAAUAGAUUACAUUCUCCCAAUCACAUAUUCCUUGGACUUUAUCGUUUAAGCAUAUAACAUUUAUAUGAGACGGCUCAAACAAUAAUCUUUGCCCUUUAUAUUAAACUAGAUUAGUUUAACAUGUGAAAUGUCCGUAAAGUAUCAUCAUAUGAUUGGCUUUAGGGCACAUUUCCAACAAUCUCCCACUUGCACUAUAGCCAAUCAGCUUAGUCAUCAGUGAUGAUACCUCUUUUGUAGUCAUUUCAUAAAUGGCUGAAUAGUAGGCCUAGACAAUGGCUAUCUAUAUGUUAUCCAUAGAAGCAACCUUGAGAAUAACGACGUCACCAUUAUACAUGAUUCUCAAUCAUGUGGUUCAGUCUCUCAUUUGAGUUCGGAUCUUGAUGAGACCUUGAUUCCCUAGCUUGAGCUAUCGCCCCAUUAGUGUCAUACACUUUCUGGUUGGAACCGAAUAGAGAGUUCAUAAAUGAACUUUCCCAUCCAAACAACAUUGUUGUAAACUUCUUUAUGGCAAUAUAUUUUGCAUUCAUAAUGGAACACACUAAAGUCAUUACUUUAAUGUUUCCAUCCAAAUAUCUCUUUAGUCAUAAUAAAGAGAUAUCCGUUUAUCUCUUCAUUCAUAAUGAAGAAACAUCCAAUGAUGGAUUAGAUUCAUAAUCUAAUACAUUUACGCUUCCAUUACGUUACUCUAAUUCUUCCUCAUUCUUUGAGGAAUUUAUCCUUUAGUAUUUCUUAAAUACUUAAGGACUCACUUGACAGUUGCCAUGGUUCUGAUCCUGGGCUUGCACUGAUAUCGUCUUGUACCGUUCUAGGUACAACUCAUAUCAAUGUUUUUCAUACAAUAUGAAAUACAUAAAUCACCUUUAUGCGUAUGCAUAAAGGAUUCUUAUUUACGCAUUAUUUCUUUGGGAGUCAAAGGGUACGUUCCCUUUGAGAAGGGGAACUUUCCAGUCACACUAGAGUCGUCUUUCUAAUUGAAGUUUAUCAUCAUAUGAGAAACUUCCUAGCAUCUUUUGUCUAUUAUUAGGGAUUGAUAUAAUCAAAUUAUAUCUUGAAAUCUAUCAAUAUAUAUUUCCAUCCCAUGUAUAUAGACUAUGUCUCCCAUAUACAUUCUAUCUUCAUAUAAUGUUUAAAGUCAUAACUUUAACGAAGAAAUAUUCUUUUCAUUUCCAAAAUUAAUAUAUCAUAUAUAUAUUCAUACAUAUCACAUAUAUAUUUAUAUAUAUAUAUAUAUACAAAUUUAGGAAUAUGAUUAACUCCCACUAAUCUUUUGUAAACCUAGUAAACAAAAGAUUCAUUUACAUCUUUAUGAGAAAGCAAACGAUUUGACCUUUCUCUGAUAAGACGCUUAUAGCUCCCACUAGCUUGCUAAGAUCCAUGAUGGAUGGAUCUCUACAACUUACAUGUCUUGUGAUUCAUAGUUUUAGACAUAUAUUAUCAAGACUAUCUUAAUAAUGGUUUCGGAAACCUAUAUUAUGUCCAAACAUUGAAUCACCAUUUAAUUGUAGCUAGCAAUCUUCCAAUUAAUUGAAACUAAGACUACGUCAAAAAUGGUUCCUUCAAAGUCAACCAUUUUCUUUGAUUGUAGUCACCUUAAGCUACCAAUUAGCUUAUGAAGGUUUCAUUAUUUCGGGUCAAAUGGUACUUUACCAUUUCCUUGAGUAUAUAUCGUAUAUGCACUCAAUGUAGUCAUAAGGAUUUUCAUUCUUAUUUCUUUCGAAUUAAGAGGUGCAACUCUAUGACAUAGUCAUAAAGUUCAAACCAUUCAACUGAGACGGUUUAUAAAUCCUUCUCGACUACCUUGGAGCUUUUGGUAUAGGAACUAGGUUGUUAUAUUUGUUGAUUAUUAUCUUGUCUCUCACAGAACCAUUCUUUGAGUUCUAUCCCUCGUUCAUUUGCUCUUAGGCAAAUCACAUUGCAGGAUUACAAUGAACUACCCAACAAAACAACAUUUGUUAGUUGGUAUAUAGAAGCGAUAUCCAAAAGCUAAUUUAAGGAUAUCCCACAAGAUUGUUAUCUAACAAAUAUUGCUUAUUAGCACACAACCCCAAAUCUUAACAUGUUUUAAGAUUUUGUCUUUCUUUCCAACUACAUCUUAUGGAGUCAUGAAAAUAUUGGAAGAUCUUCUAAUUUACAAUCAUAUUGUUUUAGAAGUAUAUAUCCUAUAUAUGGGUAAUAGAUAACAUCUAACGAACUAAAUCUCAUUCGAGUUCGUUCUUCUCCUAAUGGAGAAAUACAUUAUCUUAUGAUGCUUAUUUCCUUAAUAUCUUUCAAGGAAACUGUUCUAAAGUGUUACCUUAUCUUGGAUCAAAUCUAAGGAGGUAAAUACUUUAGACGUCUUACUCAUCAACUUACAUUACUUGAAUUCUUUGAAACCUUUUGCAAAGUAUUCGGACUUAUGUUUAUUUAAAAUAAACUAUAGUCCAACCGAGGGUGAUCUUCGGUGAAUGUCAUCCAACAUGAGUAGUAUUAUGUUUGUGGACAAGUGCCACUAACAUCUAAGUGAAUUAACCUCAACAACUUUGUGAUUCUUUCUUCUUUCCAAAAGAAUAAAGAUUCGAACAUUUCGCCUCUAUACAAUUUUAACAAGAAGGUAUUGGAUCCGGAUCUAACAAUCCAAAGCAUCCAUUUAUUACCAACUCGUAAUUUAUGUUUUUAGAGGAAUCACAAGUUAGUUGGGAUUAGUCACUACCUUGCAACCUUUUGGGUUUUAAGCAUCAUUAUGUUCUAAACAGUUAACACCACCAUAUUAUCUCUACUAUAGAGACAAUCAAUUAGAUUACCAUAAUCCAAUCAUUGAUUAAUAAAGAACAAUGUUUUGUCAAACAAAACAUUUAUCCAUUUCACAUAGUGACAGAAUUUAGUUCCUUAAAAUUGGAAUAUAAAGACAAUCUAUGUUUUUCCAAUUUCUUUGGUAGUUCAUAUGAGGAAGUAAGUACCAUCUGCUUUCGCAGAGAUCUAUAUUUGAUUCACUUUCCGAAUGUGAAGCACCUUUUCCUUCUCUCAUAUAUCUUCUACUUCUUAUUAGUAACACUUUUACAACGAUUGUAAAACAUAGUUACUAAUACGGAAUCAAGCAUUCAAGUAGAAGAACCAACUGUUUUGAACUUUUCAAGAACAAUUUACAACACCUUCGAAAGGUGUGUUCUUGACAUUUGCAAGACAUUUCUUGCAAAUACCACUUCCAAUGUCCAUCAUUUCAUAAAGAAAGUUUGUUCCCUUGGAGUUAAUUUUAUCUUCUUCAUUUGACUUCUCCUUUGACUACAAUAGUCAUGGUCCCUAAACUCCCACUAUCUCUCUUGAAACUUAUUUCAAUUGUGUUAUACACAUCAAACAUUUUGGAGAGCAUGUGGUUAUUGUUCACUACAUAAUUUACAAUAAACUUAGUGAACCAUUAGGAUAGGGGCACUUAGGUGAAGUCCUUGCCUAGUUUCCGUCUCAUUAAGUGGUUUAUCACUUCAACACUUAAUGAUUCAAAAUCAUUAUAAGUCCAUGUUAAUGGACUAUUUUUGUCAACCAACCAUUAUGUUCUAAACAUAAUUACAAACCUUCAAGAGUUGUACAAGGCAACUCUCAUUUCUUCAUACAACAAUUUGUAAGUGAAGAAACAUGGCACAUAAAGUGUCCAUGCCUUUGUGCUUUCUUCUCAAGUUCUUUGUUCAUUUAACAAAGAAACAAGCACUAGUGUUUGCAUUGACUAAGGGUUGUUCAAAGCAACUAUUAUUUCUUCAUACAACGAUUUGUAAGUGAAGAACUAAUAACACUAAAAGUGUCCUUGUCAUUAUGCUAAUCUUCGUAAGUUCCUUUGUUCAUUUAACAAAGGAUUAAGCAUUGGUUGUUUGUGUUGUCCUCUUCAUGAUAGACCUUUCUAACAUGUUCUUCCAAUGAUACAUUAUCAUUAGGAAGAUUGUGAGGAUGAGACUAUUUAGGUACAUAUACAAUCCAUUUAAGACAAUCUUUGGGAUUGUGUUACCAAGUCCAGAAACUAAAGCAUUCGGCUUUUCUUUGUCAAGUGUUGGAUAGCGUUUGCAAAUAUAUUGGUAAACAAAUACAUAACGAAUAUAAAUUGAUUGAUUUUAAGCCAUUUGAUUCGGGUCUUUAAAUCAAAUAGCACCACCCACUAUUUUUGGCAAAUUCCAUAUCCCUCAUUGGAAUUUGAGAGUUUUGGAUGAAACUCCUAGUAGGUUAUGGGAGGCUCACUAUUACCAAGCCCACCUCAGAAGAACUCCAUAUUGGCUAGCAACAAUAAUAAUGAGAUAGUACGCUUACUCAUUUGCAACUAAUGCAAGUACCCAUCUUAUUUGGCCUCUAGAGAAUGAUGCCUCAGAAGAACUCCAUAUUGGCACCAUUGCACUUAGUUAAGUCAUUCCCACCAUGCUAGUUCAAGUAGGGGUUCAAGAAUGGCCUCAGAAGAACUCCAUAUUGGCCAUACUCGUUGCCUACUUUCACUUCAUCAUAUGUUUAUAGGCUUCUCCUGAAUGUAAGCACAUACUUUGCAACCCCAGAACUGGACGAAUACAUUGUAUGAGUCACAAACGAUUGAAGCCUACCACGGUGGAAGGCCACGAAAGAGUGUUCAAAGCACUCUCACGCUUUUCAACUUAAUAUUGGUUUGGUUGAGGGUUUUAGGUCUCAUCACAUAUAAACAUACAUUUUAAUCUCUAUUAAAACAAUUUUGGUCCUAUUACAACUAUUGGUCCAUAUGAUUGUUUUAGUUGUAUAUAAUACUCCCACUAUGCUUUUAAAACGGUUUUUAAAGCAAGAGUAUAUGAUACUACUAACAUAAACUUUGCAUUCAUUUAAUGGACUAUAUAGUUGCCUUAGGGCCUUAGGAUGACUAUGAACCUUUGUUUAGAUUCAACACGAGCCUUGUGUUGAAUCUCGGUCUAGGGAUAGUGAUUGAUUUUAGUUACGCGUUUAAUCACAUUAAGGCGUGUUGUCUUAGGGGCGUUGGACCCAGCUACUUCAUUUUCAUGCAUAUCAAAUAAAGCAAGAAAGAAGUACUUCAAAGUAAAGGUGAGCUUAUGCUCAUUACAACAUUUGCAUAAAACAAAUUACUUUAAAGUAAAGAAGAGCUCAAGCCCUUUUACAACAUUUGAUCAAAUCAAAUUACAACCAAAAUUAAUCUACACAUUCCCAUGGUUCAAACAAAUUUGAAACGGCCUAUCACAUAGCUCAAUUAUAUUAGGCUUAGGUUCAUAAUCACCCUUUAAUUAAUUAACACUUUAACUAAUUAAAUUGAAUGCAACAUUUUCAUUUGGUUUUUGUAUCCAUAAAAUUGAUUUAAAUGGAGCUAAACAAAAUGAAAAUCCAAUUCUCAUUUAAAGAGACAAAACAAUUUUGUUCUCAACCUAAUUUGGGCCAUCAUGCAAUAACCACAACUAAUUUGGGCUAUAAAGCAAUUAACCUCAACUUUUGGGCUAUAUUGCAAAACUUUUGGGGUCACUUUGUAAAGACACAAAAGUCCACUACUUCAUGUAAUUACAUUAGAACCCAAAAUUUAAUCAAUGCAAAAACUUCAUUAAAGGAUCAAAACAAUUUGUCCUUUAGCGUUUUUGGACCUAAACGUAAAAACGUAAACUUUUGGGCCUAAGUGCAAAUACACAAAAGUAUCAAAACUUUAUGUAAUUGCAUAAAAGCCCCAAAAGUACUCCCACUUGAGGGAGGGCCGGUUUUGGAAGAAGAAAUGGAGUGAUGUGUGUGUUGAUUUGUAGUUUGACAUAAAGCAUGCAAGUGCACAAGUGGUGUGUGUGAAAGGGUUUUAAUCCUUUCACACCCACCAUUAUUUCUAUUGCCAUUUAAACAAAUAUCUAAAACAUUUAAACAUUUGAAAAACAUAAAACAUAAACUUUAUGAAAUAAAUCAAAACUUUGAAUCAAAACACAAACCUUUUUGUUCUUGGCAAAAAUGUCAAGAACAAUGAAGAAAAUUCAUGAAAAACCCAAAAUUUUUCCAUGAACAUUUUUUUCACCCAAAAACAUUCCAAAACCAUUCAAACUUUAGGGAAAUAACAUCUAACCAAACUAGGGUACAUAAGGGUUCCAAAAGUCACUUGAAAACACUUUUAACAAGUCAAACAAGAACCCAAAAAAUCACCCUAUAUAUUUGGCCGAAAAUUCCCAAAAGCAUGGCACCAAAUUUUAGCUCCAAUAUUCAUGCUCAUAUGAACUACAUCUACAACAUUUGAGAUGGCAAAUUUUCUAAUAAAAUCUACAUUCAAAGAAACAAGAAUAAAGCUUGUAACAUAUUACAACUUUAAAUCACAAACUAUGAACUACAAAACCCAAAAGGAUUCACCAACUACUAGACCUAGGCUCUGAUACCACUUGAAGGAAAAAUUUGUGAAAACAUGUUCAUUUAAGCAACAUCAUAUAGCAUGCAAUUAACAAUUAAAGGCGGAAUCAUGCUAGCAUGCACUUAAAAACAAAACAUUAACCAAGAAAUUCAAAGCCUAGUAGAUUGGUGAACCAUUAAUCAACUCAAAACAAAGUGAGUUGAAAUUUAUACCUUUGAAGAUUCCUCUUUGCAUAAGCAAAGGCUAAUCACCCAAAGAGAGGGCCUUCAUUCCUUGCAUCUUAAAUCUAUGGAUUUGGAUGGAAGAAUAGGUUUCUCCAAGUUCCCAAAAUAGGGAACCUCUAAGUCUCUUCACCAAGGAGAGAUUGGAGAAGAUAUGAGUGACCUUGGAGUAGUAGGAUUGCUAGAUGUACCCCCCAAGGUGGCUGGCCUCUUUAGAGAGAAAUGGAGAGACAUGUUCUCUCCAAUUUUCCCCAAAAAAAAAACCCUAAUGAAUUUUAGGCUAUACAGUCAUAUUUAUACCUUUAUUCAUUUGAGUGGCAAACUUGUAAAUAAGUCCAAGUUCAUUACCCUUAGCAUCAUGGCCGGCCCUAGGGUAUUUUGGGCUAAUUAGGCCUUUGUGAAUCAUUAUUCAUUAAGUUGUCAUACAACUUAAAUCAAUGGACUUGACGUUCGAAGCCCAUUGGGCCUUAAGGUCCAAAACUAUCCCCGAGGUCUUUAACGAACUUAUUCGUUUGAUUAAUUAACAUAUUAAUUAAUCCUUGCCAUAAAUAAAUGAUUAAACCAUUUAAUCAUUCUUACUCAUCUCCGUUUAAUCUCCAAUCUCCACCUCUUAUGGUGUGCGAUCCAUUAGGUUCCUUUUAGCGAGGCAGUGGGCGAUUAAAACCAUUUUUACAUCGAUUGUGAAUUUGAAACUUACUUUCAAUUCUCCCUUUAGUGAUUACACACGUUUAGGGCUUCCACAAACCAUGAGUGACACCUAGCAGCAUAUCAUGGUUACCCAAGCUAAUCAGAAGAGGUCAGAGAACCUAUUCAGUUUGGGAUUACAAAUGCAAUACGGUCUUUCUCUAAUCUAAUACUCUUGACCACAUU